AUUGAACGCUGGCGGCAGGCCUAACACAUGCAAGUCGAGCGGGGUUUUCGGACCUAGCGGCGGACGGGUGAGUAAUGCGUAGGAAGCUACCCGAUAGAGGGGGAUACCAGUUGGAAACGACUGUUAAUACCGCAUAAUGUCUACGGACCAAAGUGUGGGACCUUCGGGCCACAUGCUAUCGGAUGCGCCUACGUGGGAUUAGCUAGUUGGUGAGGUAAUGGCUCACCAAGGCGACGAUCCCUAGCUGGGUUGAGAGGAUGAUCAGCCACACUGGAACUGAGACACGGUCCAGACUCCUACGGGGGGCAGCAGUGGGGAAUAUUGGACAAUGGGCGCAAGCCUGAUCCAGCCAUGCCGCGUGUGUGAAGAAGGCCUUCGGGUUGUAAAGCGCUUUCAGUAGGGAGGAAGCGUUGUGUGUUAAUAGUACACAGCGUUGACGUUACCUACAGAAGAAGCACCGGCUAACUCUGUGCCAGCCGCCGCCGUAACAC
rnacentral:rRNA from 1 species